UUGACCUCGGAUCAGGUAGGAUUACCCGCUGAACUUAAGCAUAUCAAUAAGCGGAGGAAAAGAAACCAACAGGGAUUGCCCCAGUAACGGCGAGUGAAGCGGCAACAGCUCAGAUUUGGAAUCUGGCCUUCGGGCCCGAGUUGUAAUCUGGAGAGGAUGCUUCUGGCGCGGUGCCUUCCGAGUUCCCUGGAACGGGACGCCGGAGAGGGUGAGAGCCCCGUACGGUUGGACACCUAGCCUCUGUGAAGCUCCUUCGACGAGUCGAGUAGUUUGGGAAUGCUGCUCAAAAUGGGAGGUAAAUUUCUUCUAAAGCUAAAUAUUGGCCAGAGACCGAUAGCGCACAAGUAGAGUGAUCGAAAGAUGAAAAGCACUUUGAAAAGAGAGUUAAAAAGUACGUGAAAUUGUUGAAAGGGAAGCGCCCGUGGCCAGACUUGCGCUGCGCGGACCACCCAGCGUUCUCGCUGGUGCACUCCGCGCGGCGCAGGCCAGCAUCGGUUUUCCUAGGGGGAUAAAGGUCGCGGGAACGUAGCUCCUCCGGGAGUGUUAUAGCCCGUGGCGUCAUGCCCCUGGGGGGACCGAGGACCGCGCUUCGGCAAGGAUGCUGGCGUAAUGGCCACCGGCGACCGU
rnacentral:rRNA from 1 species